rnacentral:rRNA from 1 species
CGGGGUGCACCAGGCGCGAAAACUUUACAAUGCCGGCAACGGCGAUAAGGGAACCUCGAGUGCCAGGUUACAAAUCUGGCUGUCGUGAUGCCUAAAAAGCAUUGCAUAGCAAGGGCCGGGCAAGACCGGUGCCAGCCGCCGCGGUAACACCGGCGGCUCGAGUGGUAACCGUUAUUAUUGGGUCUAAAGGGUCUGUAGCCGGCCGGAUAAGUCUCUUGGGAAAUCUGGCAGCUUAACUGUCAGGCUUUCAGGAGAUACUGUCUGGCUCGAGGCCGGGAGAGGUGAGAGGUACUUCAGGGGUAGGGGUGAAAUCUUGUAAUCCUUGAAGGACCACCAGUGGCGAAGGCGUCUCACCAGAACGGACCUGACGGCAAGGGACGAAAGCUAGGGGCACGAACCGGAUUAGAUACCCGGGUAGUCCUAGCCGUAAACGAUACUCGCUAGGUGUCGGCCACGGUGCGACCGUGGUCGGUGCCGUAGGGAAGCCGUGAAGCGAGCCACCUGGGAAGUACGGCCGCAAGGCUGAAACUUAAAGGAAUUGGCGGGGGAGCAC